GACGAACGCUGGCGGCGUGCCUAAUACAUGCAAGUUGAGCGCUGAAGGUUGGUACUUGUACCAACUGGAUGAGCAGCGAACGGGUGAGUAACGCGUGGGGAAUCUGCCUUUGAGCAGGGGACAACAUUUGGAAACGAAUGCUAAUACCGCAUAAAAACUUUAAACACAAGUUUUAAGUUUGAAAGAUGCAAUUGCAUCACUCAAAGAUGAUCCCGCGUUGUAUUAGCUAGUUGGUGAGGUAAAGGCUCACCAAGGCGAUGAUACAUAGCCGACAUGAGAGGGUGAGCGGCCACAUUGGGACUGAGACACGGCCCAAACUCCUACGGGAGGCAGCAGUAGGGAAUCUUCGGCAAUGGACGAAAGACUGACCGAGCAACGCCGAGUGAGUGAAGAAGGUUUUCGGGUCGUAAAACUCUGUUGGUAGAGAAGAACGUUGGUGAGAGUGGAAAGCUCACCAAGUGACGGUAACUACCCAGAAAGGGACGGCUAACUACGUG
rnacentral:rRNA from 1 species